rnacentral:rRNA from 1 species
AUUGAACGCUGGCGGCAUGCUUUACACAUGCAAGUCGAACGGUAACAGGCCGCAAGGUGCUGACGAGUGGCGAACGGGUGAGUAAUGCAUCGGAACGUGCCCAGUCGUGGGGGAUAACGCAGCGAAAGCUGUGCUAAUACCGCAUACGAUCUAUGGAUGAAAGCGGGGGACCGUAAGGCCUCGCGCGAUUGGAGCGGCCGAUGUCAGAUUAGGUAGGUGGUGGGGUAAAGGCUCACCAGGCCAACGAUCUGUAGCUGGUCUGAGAGGACGACCCGCCACACUGGGACUGAGACACGGCCCAGACUCCUACGGGAGGCAGCAGUGGGGAAUUUUGGACAAUGGGCGCAAGCCUGAUCCAGCAAUGCCGCGUGCAGGAAGAAGGCCUUCGGGUUGUAAACUGCUUUUGUACGGAACGAAAAGGUUUGGGUUAAUACCCUGGGCCGAUGACGGUACCGUAAGAAUAAGCACCGGCUAACUACGUGCCAGCAGCCGCAGUAA